rnacentral:rRNA from 1 species
GAUGAACGCUGGCGGCGUGCUUAACACAUGCAAGUCGAACGGGAAUUACUUUAUUGAAACUUCGGUCGAUUUAAUUUAAUUCUAGUGGCGGACGGGUGGGUAACGCGUGGGUAACCUGCCUUAUACAGGGGGAUAACAGUCAGAAAUGACUGCUAAUACCGCAUAAGCGCACAGAGCUGCACGGCUCAGUGCGAAAAACUCCGGUGGUAUAAGAUGGACCCGCGUUGGAUUAGCUAGUUGGUGAGGUAACGGCCCACCAAGGCGACGAUCCAUAGCCGGCCUGAGAGGGUGAACGGCCACAUUGGGACUGAGACACGGCCCAGACUCCUACGGGAGGCAGCAGUGGGGAAUAUUGCACAAUGGGGGAAACCCUGAUGCAGCGACGCCGCGUGAAGGAAGAAGUAUCUCGGUAUGUAAACUUCUAUCAGCAGGGAAGAAUUAGGACGGUACCUGACUAAGAAGCCCCGGCUAACUACGUGCCAGCCGCCGCAGUAACAC